rnacentral:rRNA from 1 species
GAUGAACGCUGGCGGCGUGCCUAAUACAUGCAAGUCGAGCGAACGGACGAGAAGCUUGCUUCUCUGAUGUUAGCGGCGGACGGGUGAGUAACACGUGGAUAACCUACCUAUAAGACUGGGAUAACUUCGGGAAACCGGAGCUAAUACCGGAUAAUAUUUUGAACCGCAUGGUUCAAAAGUGAAAGACGGUCUUGCUGUCACUUAUAGAUGGAUCCGCGCUGCAUUAGCUAGUUGGUAAGGUAACGGCUUACCAAGGCAACGAUACAUAGCCGACCUGAGAGGGUGAUCGGCCACACUGGAACUGAGACACGGUCCAGACUCCUACGGGAGGCAGCAGUAGGGAAUCUUCCGCAAAGGGCGAAAGCCUGACGGAGCAACGCCGCGUGAGUGAUGAAGGUCUUCGGAUCGUAAAACUCUGUUAUUAGGGAAGAACAUAUGUGUAAGUAACUGUGCACAUCUUGACGGUACCUAAUCAGAAAGCCACGGCUAACUACGUG